AUUGAACGCUGGCGGCAGGCCUAACACAUGCAAGUCGAGCGGAUGAAGGGAGCUUGCUCCUGGAUUCCGCGGCGGACGGGUGAGUAAUGCCUAGGAAUCUGCCUGGUAGUGGGGGAUAACGUCAGGAAACGGGCGCUAAUACCGCAUACGUCCUGAGGGAGAAAGUGGGGGAUCUUCGGACCUCACGCUAUCAGAUGAGCCUAGGUCGGAUUAGCUAGUUGGUGGGGUAAAGGCCUACCAAGGCGACGAUCCGUAACUGGUCUGAGAGGAUGAUCAGUCACACUGGAACUGAGACACGGUCCAGACUCCUACGGGAGGCAGCAGUGGGGAAUAUUGGACAAUGGGCGAAAGCCUGAUCCAGCCAUGCCGCGUGUGUGAAGAAGGUCUUCGGAUUGUAAAGCACUUUAAGUUGGGAGGAAGGGCAGUAAGUUAAUACCUUGCUGUUUUGACGUUACCAACAGAAUAAGCACCGGCUAACUUCGUG
rnacentral:rRNA from 1 species